GAUGAAGAACGUAGCGAAAUGCGAUAAGUAAUGCGAAUUGCAGAAUUUCCGUGAGUCAUCGAAUCUUUGAACGCACAUUGCGCCCACUGGUAUUCCGGUGGGCAUGCCUGUUCGAGCGUCUUUAUCCUCCCUCAAACCCCGGGUUUGGUGUUGGACCGAAGUUGUGUGAACAACUGGUCUAAAAAACAAUGACGGCGUCCGUGGGACCCUCGGUGCAACGAGCUUUUAGGAGCACGCGCCGAGUUGCAAGGACCUUCCGGGCCGGUCUCCUUUUACUAUUUUACAAGGUUGACCUCGGAUCAGGUAGGAAUACCCGCUGAACUUAAGCAUAUCAAUAAGCGGAGGA
rnacentral:misc_RNA from 1 species